UAGCUGAGCGCUCGGAAGGAUCUUUUCAGGCUUUACCCCCAGCGUGCUGACUUCAGGUGACUCGCCCCCACAAACGUAACAAGGUUUCCGUAGGUGAACCUGCGGAAGGAUCAUUACAGAAUGAAAAGUGCUUAACUGCAUUUUUUCUUACACAUGUGUUUUUCUUUUUUUGAAAACUUUGCUUUGGUAGGCCUUCUAUAUGGGGCCUGCCAGAGAUUAAACUCAACCAAAUUUUAUUUAAUGUCAACCGAUUAUUUAAUAGUCAAAACUUUCAACAACGGAUCUCUUGGUUCUCGCAUCGAUGAAGAACGCAGCGAAAUGCGAUAAGUAAUAUGAAUUGCAGAUAUUCGUGAAUCAUCGAAUCUUUGAACGCACAUUGCGCCCUUUGGUAUUCCAAAGGGCAUGCCUGUUUGAGCGUCAUUUCUCCCUCAAACCCUCGGGUUUGGUGUUGAGCGAUACGCUGGGUUUGCUUGAAAGAAAGGCGGAGUAUAAACUAAUGGAUAGGUUUUUUCCACUCAUUGGUACAAACUCCAAAACUUCUUCCAAAUUCGACCUCAAAUCAGGUAGGACUACCCGCUGAACUUAAGCAUAUCAAAGUGGGGGAGGAA
rnacentral:rRNA from 1 species